UACGGGGGGUGCGAGCGUUAUCCGGAAUGAUUGGGCGUAAAGCGUCCGCAGGUGGCAAUGUAAGUCUGCUGUCAAAGCGUCUGGCUCAACCAGAUAAAGGCAGUGGAAACUACACGGCUAGAGUGCGUUCGGGGCAGAGGGAAUUCCUGGUGUAGCGGUGAAAUGCGUAGAGAUCAGGAAGAACACCGGUGGCGAAAGCGCUCUGCUAGGCCGCAACUGACACUGAGGGACGAAAGCUAGGGGAGCGAAUGGG
rnacentral:rRNA from 1 species